AGCUGGAGCUGCUGCCAAGAUCUGCCAUGUAGAGAGCUAUGACUGGGAGAAGAGGAACUAAAUUGCAGUAUGUUUUGGGACUUCAGAGAAGGAAGUGGCCUCUCUGAGUGGGGAUUUGGAGCGGCUUCCCACUCCAGCUGGAAACAGGGCUGCGGCUGAGGAGGCCUCUUUCAGGAGAUGAGACUCAAGGCAGCUACAGUAUAUGCUGCGGCAGUAUCAACUUCUCCACACUGCUGAACCAACCUUAUUUCAGGCCUGACCUGGAGGAAACAUUUCUAGGAUGAGCAGUUCUAUUUCCACUGUCUUUCAGUUUUUUCAGAGACUGCCAGUAAGGAUACCAGUAAGUGGCAAAUGGGAGCCGUGUGGACAUUUUUCCAGUAGGACUGAGAUCACCAAGCUAGUUUAACAUAGACCAUCAGAUAACAUCAACUUUCAAUCAUGUUGCAGACCAGGGCUGGAUUUGAACUAGCAACCGAGGAAGUGGAUGAUUCUAUAUCCCAUUAUCAAUUCCCUGCAUCAUCCAGAGCCAAAUUGAUGUGUGCGUGCGUGUUGUGGAUAAUUUAAGUUUGUCCUUUAAAAUGAAGAAAAGAUAUUUAACAUACAUAAUGAAACAGACUUAUGUGAUAUAUAUUUGGUUUGGAUGGAGGAAAGCUCCAACUGUUAAAUAAAAGGUUAUAUCCUGAGGCCCUUGUUCAGGAAAACUCUCAGUCCUGCUAGCAGGAAUUUAGCUUGAAUGCAAGAAUCUCAGAUUUUGGUCUAAUAUGCCUAAUCAUUUUUACGGAGUUAGAAGCCUAAAAAGGAAGAAGUUUAAAGCACACGUUUUAAUAUCAGAUCAUGUAUAGUUCUGGGUGAAUUUUGUAUAGCUCCCUGCCUAUCUAUCUUAGUGGAACUAAGAAAGUAAAGUCAGCUUUGUUCCACUUCCCACACAUCUUCUGCAUUCUAGCUGAAGUUAUGCUAAUGGGAAGGGAUACAGGGUUGGUAGUUUUCAUUUACACUGCUAAAAAAACAAAAACCAUGAGUUUCUCCACUGAAGUCAAAGCAGUUAUACCAGUGAAAGUCUCAGAGUAAAAAAGAUAAGAAUGAGGCCAACAUGAUUUUACAUCUUUCUUUUGGCCCCUGAGAUUGAGCAGAUCAGAUCACUUUGCAGCAAUGUAUUCCUAGUACUGCACCAAAAUACAUGUACGAGCUUACUGAUAAGACUUUAUUAGAUGCAAUUGAAACUUCUAUUAUAUUUUACACCAAGAGCCCCUCAGCUGAAUUGUAAGGAAGGUUACUAGCGAUGGAAAUCUAGGUAGCAUAAAAAGAAUGACAGGCAAAUCCCAAAGUAUUUUGUUUUGCUCCUUUUUUCAUUUCUGUACAGAGUUAUAGAUCUUUCUCCAUGUGAUGUAUAGUCCUACUUACUAUUAGCAUCUUUCAGAGGGGAGCCAGGCACCAUAAGUAUCAGACUGUUAGUUCAACUUGAAAACAUUUCAAAAUAUUUUAAUUAAUUUACAUAAAAAUGUUUUGAAGCAGAUAAAUGUGUACCUUAAUGUAAGCUGUCUCUUAUACAGCAUUCUAAUAGCACAGUGGAAUGAUUUAUAUGUACACCUUCUAAUGAAAGCAUUCCAAAAAGCCUGGAGGGCUAUGGAAUAAAUUCAACCAUUAGGGAGAGCUGACUGUACAGUCUUCUGAUAGUUUGUACACCACUGGGCAAAGAUAACUUUGCUCACAAGUCAUUAGGGGUGUACAAGGGGUCCUUUAAAAAUGCAUGGCUGUCCUUCUGAAGUAGCAAUGUGCUCUGCUAGAGCAGCCCACCUGGAUUUAGCCUUUACUAAUGGGAUACUGUAGGGGGAUGUCCCUGAAGGAAUCCUGGCAGAGAUUUCCACUGAAACUCCUUUGUGUGUCUCAGUAUUCAGAAGCUUACACAUGUUUCCACCAGUUUGUACCCACUCUGCAGAGAAGACUGUCUCCCUUGGACACACUCAUAUUGAAACUCUGACCUCACUUUCAUUCUUGAAUUAUUUUCCUGUGCCUAGUGAUUAAUUGACCCCCUAUUCCUUUUUGGCUCCUCCCUUCUUCUGGGGCUGGAUUAAUAUCUAUAUGGGAGAGGGCAUUUGGGGGCCUCCCUCUGCCUAUGGGAGAUGAAAUAGGCAAUAUUGUUCAUAAGCCCUAAGACAAAAACAAUGGAGUUACAUAGUAACCUUGUGUUUGUAUAGAAUAUCAAUUUUAUUGGUUCAGGACUUAUUUCCUACAGUACUAUAUUUGUAAAAAUAUUUAUGUAUCCAACACUGAAUUUUGCUUUGUUUUUAUGACCCCAGAAGCCCCUCAAUGCCAACUGGCAGAGGGUCCCCCAUGCUUUAACUCACAUCAGGCCUGACACACUCUUUGCCCCCUAUUCAUUCACAAUGUUGUAAUGAAUUUUACUUGUGACCUAGAACUGAGCUAGCCUUGAUUUGGGACCUGACAAAAGUUGACAAAACCAAAGUUUAGUACAAUUUGAUUUUAUUGUAGUCUUGCUAGUUAUAGACCUGAUCCUGGCCUAUUGAAGUGAAUGGGAGUUUUGCCAUUCACUUCAAUGGUACAGAAUGAGACACUAUAUGCUUAGUUUGCAAAAUAAGGGCCUUUGACAGCCUGACACAAAAGUGAAGCCACAUGAAGAGCCAGCUGACUGUUCUCUCCCCCUCCUCCCCUGUUUUUCCUUUUUGUAAAUCUGUCCCCUCUUUUUCCUCCCCCUCUGCUGCAUUAUGACAUACAGAAAAGACAGAUUGUGUGUGAUAACUGCAAUGGGGAAAUUCUUUUCCAAUAAUAGUCUUUUUGAAAUUUGCUUUUCUGUUCGUCUCUUAAAGAAACUAAUUAGCAUAGUGUCAUCACAUAGAUUACAGAUGUGAGAGGCUGGAAUUCCCUUUGCCAUGUGAAAAUAUAGCUGUUUUCCUAUUUGUGCCUGCAUUUAUAUAUAAUGGGACAAGGCUUGAGGUACUUUCAGUACAAUGGUAACACGAAUCCCUUGCAUCUCUAAAAGCUAAAUUGUCAAUAGUUGUUGUAGGAGGCUAUCCAAAGGUGAACCUGAUAAAUCUACAAGUUCAUAAAUAACCAAAACAGAGACCAGCCACAGAAACAGAUGGUGCUUCUGGAAGGGCCUGAAAUAUUUCCACUGCUAAUUCAACAUAAACCUUCUGUCUGGAGUUCUGCAAGUGGGUGGACUUGUGUGCAUGCCUGUGAGUGUACAGUGCUUUUGUAGUCAAUAUUCAUCACAUUUCAUUUUUGAAGCUUCUUUAGGCAGAGACAAUAUAGGUCCCAGUCCUGGAAAUAUUUAUACACAUUCUUAUCUUUAAGCAUGUGAGUCAUUCUCCUGAAGUCAAUGGGACUAUUUGUGACUAAAGUUAAGCAUGUGUAUAAGUGUUUGCAGGAUCAGAGCCAUAGACACAACUGAACAAAGUCAUCUUUACUUUCUACUGUUAUUCUCUUAACAUAGUAAUGUCUGCCCAUAGUUGUUUGUUACAAUUUCUUUAAUUUAGUUGCCAUGACUUAAAAAAUAUUGAAACUCCACUAACUUUGAGGCCUGAUUCUGGACUCUCACCAGUUGUGUUCCAGUGUAACUUCAUUGACUUCGGUGGAAUUAAUACCAGUGUAAGUGAUAAUGGAAUCAAGAGCUCAGUGUUUAGAAGAUACCAAAUGGCUUAGCUGAAUGAUCUACAGCAGUGGCAACUGGGAGUGUUAGCUGAGUAAAGACCACAGGGCUGAGCUCAAAAGAGUAGCAGAUGGAGCGAUCAGACAUGCUUUCUUCCGUCUGCAUACCUGCUCCCAGUAAACGUUUUUUCUGACAACAGAAAGAAAUGCAUAUGGGGGUAAGCUUAAAUGUUAGGAUGUGCUCAGUGGGCGAGUACUUGUCAAAAGUCCCCUACAUGAGAAAACUACUACAUCAUAAUAAUUUUGAAAAAUUAUGUGAAAUAAGUGCAGAAUGUAAUCUUUCCACAUCAUUUAGUAGUUCCUGUGCUACAUCAAUCUUUCAUUUUCAUACUACUGAAGCUCUCCAUUCCAAGAGGAGUUCAAAUGAUCCAAAAUGGGAAAAAUUAAAUGCUGUCUGGCUAUUUAUGGGCUAGAUGUACAUACCAUAAAAAUAAAAAGCAGCUAUGUAUUAGCUAGAGCUCUGAGGCAGCAUAAGAUAGGAGCUGAGUGCUAGCCCUUACCUUUUCUCCACUGUUUUACAAAAACUAUUGCUGGUACUCAGAGUAACGGGCAAAUCACAUUGUACUUUGAGCAUCCUGGAGAUGUAGAGUGGGAUUUUGCAAAAGCUCAUAGCAUUGAUUUAACCAUGCUUCUGUGAAAUCUAGAGCAUAACUCCCAUUGACUUCACUGGAGGCAGGAUUAGGCCAAUGUUGAGUGCUUUUGAAAAUCCAGGUAUUUCCCCUUUUUAGGUAUUUAUAAGGCCCUCAUCUUUGUAACCGCUGAACAUCUCACAUGCUAAUGAAUUAAUUCUAAACACCCCAGUGAGAAAGGGAAAAAUUCCCAUAUCCAUUUCAAAGUUGGGGUGGGGAACUGAUGUAUAGAGAGUAAAAGCCUGAUUUUCCUAUUCCUUCCAGCAGUUUUACACCAGUAGAGCUUCCUUAAUUUCAGCAUAUUCCCCCAUUUGU